rnacentral:rRNA from 1 species
AUACGGAGGAUCCGAGCGUUAUCCGGAUUUAUUGGGUUUAAAGGGAGCGUAGGCGGACGCUUAAGUCAGUUGUGAAAGUUUGCGGCUCAACCGUAAAAUUGCAGUUGAUACUGGGUGUCUUGAGUACAGUAGAGGCAGGCGGGAUUUGUGGUGUAGGGGUGGAAUGCUUAGAUAUCACGAAGAACUCCGAUUGCGAAGGCAGCUUGCUGGACUGUAACUGACGCUGAUGCUCGAAAGUGUGGGUAUCAAACAGGAUUAGAUACCCUGGUAGUCCACACAGUAAACGAUGAAUACUCGCUGUUUGCGAUAUACAGUAAGCGGCCAAGCGAAAGCGUUAAGUAUUCCACCUGGGGAGUACGCCGGCAACGGUGAAACUCAAAUGAAUUGGCGGGG